UGUAGAGCAAUGGUUAAGCUCUCGGCUGCUAACUGAAAGGCUGGUGGUUCGAACCCACCCA
rnacentral:tRNA from 1 species